CCAAAACGACUCUCGGCAACGGAUAUCUCGGCUCUCGCAUCGAUGAAGAACGUAGCGAAAUGCGAUACUUGGUGUGAAUUGCARAAUCCCGUGAACCAUCGAGUCUUUGAACGCAAGUUGCGCCCGAAGCCGUCAGGCCGAGGGCACGUCUGCCUGGGCGUCACGC
rnacentral:rRNA from 1 species